rnacentral:rRNA from 1 species
UGAGGAAUAUUGGUCAAUGGGCGGGAGCCUGAACCAGCCAAGUCGCGUGAGGGACGACGGCCCUGCGGGUUGUAAACCUCUUUUGCCGGGGAGCAGGGAGCGCCACGCGUGGUGCUUUUGAGAGUACCCGGAGAAAAAGCAUCGGCUAACUCCGUGCCAGCAGCCGCGGUAAUACGGAGGAUGCGAGCGUUAUCCGGAUUUAUUGGGUUUAAAGGGUGCGUAGGCGGGAUGUCAAGUCGGCGGUAAAAAAUUCGGGGCCCAACCCCGUCGUGCCGUCGAAACUGGCGUCCUAGAGUGGGCGAGAAGUACGCGGAAUGCGUGGUGUAGCGGUGAAAUGCAUAGAUAUCACGCAGAACUCCGAUUGCGAAGGCAGCGUACCGGUGCCCAACUGACGCUGAAGCACGAAAGCGAUGGGUAUCGACAGGAUUAGAUACC